rnacentral:rRNA from 1 species
GGGAAUUGUUCGCAAUGGGCGCAAGCCUGACGACGCAACGCCGCGUGGAGGAUGAAGGUCUUCGGAUUGUAAACUCCUGUUGACCGGGAAGAAUGGACUCCGCUCUAACAAGGCGGAGUAAUGACGGUACCGGUUGAGGAAGCCACGGCUCACUCUGUGCCAGCAGCCGCGGUAAUACAGAGGUGGCAAGCGUUGUUCGGAAUUACUGGGCGUAAAGGGCGCGUAGGCGGCCUUCUAAGUCAGACGUGAAAUCCCCAGGCUUAACUUGGGAACUGCGUCUGAUACUGGAGGGCUUGAGUGCGGGAGAGGGAUGUGGAAUUCCAGGUGUAGCGGUGAAAUGCGUAGAUAUCUGGAGGAACACCGGUGGCGAAGGCGGCAUCCUGGACCGACACUGACGCUGAGGCGCGAAAGCUAGGGGAGCAAAC